rnacentral:rRNA from 1 species
GACGACGCUGGCGGCGUGCUUAAAACAUGCAAGUCGAACGGACUUCUCAUGAAGCUUGCGAUUGAGAAGUUAGUGGCGGACGGGUGAGUAACGCGUAGGCAACCUGCCCCUGAGCCCGGGAUAACAGUUCGAAAGGACUGCUAAGACCGGAUAUACUUGCGGUGAAGCAUUUCACUGCAAGGAAAGGGAACGCUCAGGGAUGGGCCCGCGUCCCAUUAGCUAGUUGGUGAGGUAACGGCCCACCAAGGCGACGAUGGGUAGCCGGCCUGAGAGGGUGAACGGCCACACUGGGACUGAGACACGGCCCAGACUCCUACGGGAGGCAGCAGUUGGGAAUCUUCGGCAAUGGGCGCAAGCCUGACCGAGCAACGCCGCGUGAGUGAUGAAGGUUUUCGGAUUGUAAAGCUCUGUCUUCCGGGACGAUAAUGACGGUACCGGAGGAGGAAGCCACGGCUAACUACGUG